GCAAUAUUUUAAUUAUUGAGGGGGGCGAUACAUGUAAAAAAAAAAAAAAAUCUAUUUUUUUUUUUUCAUAAAUCGUUAGAUUAUCAUCUCAAAAAUAUGCCUGUAAAUUUUCAAAACGCAAUUAUCAUUAUUUAUAUAUUAAAAACUCAUUUAAGUGCUUCGCCUCAACUCGGCGCUUGAGCGCUAUUGAAGUCUGUAACUGA